UACGUAUGGGGCAAGCGUUAUCCGGAUUUACUGGGUGUAAAGGGAGCGUAGACGGCAUGGCAAGUCUGAUGUGAAAGGCUGGGGCUCAACCCCGGGACUGCAUUGGAAACUGUCUAGCUGGAGUGCGGGAGAGGUAAGUGGAAUUCCUAGUGUAGCGGUGAAAUGCGUAGAUAUUAGGAGGAACACCAGUGGCGAAGGCGGCUUACUGGACCGUAACUGACGUUGAGGCUCGAAAGCGUGGGGAGCAA
rnacentral:rRNA from 1 species